rnacentral:rRNA from 1 species
GACGAACGCUGGCGGCGUGCUUAACACAUGCAAGUCGAACGGAGUUAAGGAGCUUGCUUCUUAACUUAGUGGCGAACGGGUGAGUAACGCGUGAGGAACCUGCCUUUCAGUGGGGGACAACAGUCGGAAACGGAUGCUAAUACCGCAUAUUUCUAAUCGUCUCCUGACGAAUGGAAGAAAGGUGGCUUCGGCUACCGCUUAUGGAUGGACCCGCGGCGUAUUAGCUAGUUGGUGAGGUAAUGGCUCACCAAGGCGAUGAUACGUAGCCGACCUGAGAGGGUGAUCGGCCACACUGGGACUGAGACACGGCCCAG